GACGAACGCUGGCGGCGUGCUUAACACAUGCAAGUCGAACGGUGACCCGGAGCUUGCUCCGGUGAUCAGUGGCGAACGGGUGAGUAACACGUGGGCAAUCUGCCCCUGACUUCGGAAUAACUCCUCGAAAGAGGAGCUAAUACCGGAUACGACCACUUCGGGCAUCCGAUGGUGGUAGAAAGUUUCUCGGUCAGGGAUGAGCCCGCGGCCUAUCAGCUUGUUGGUGGGGUAACGGCCCACCAAGGCGACGACGGGUAGCCGGCCUGAGAGGGCGACCGGGCCACACUGGGACUGAGACACGGCCCAGACUCCUACGGGAGGCAGCA
rnacentral:rRNA from 1 species